AGUCGAGGGGCAGCACGUCUUCGGAUGGUGGCGACCGGCGCACGGGUGCGUAACGCGUAUAGAACUUACCUUUUACAGAGGGAUAGCCUUUAGAAAUGAAGAUUAAUACCUCAUAGUAUUGAGAUUUGGCAUCAAAUUUUAAUUAAAGAUUUAUCGGUAAAAGAUGGCUAUGCGUCCUAUUAGCUAGAUGGUGAGGUAACGGCUCACCAUGGCAACGAUAGGUAGGGGUCCUGAGAGGGAGAUCCCCCACACUGGUACUGAGACACGGACCAGACUCCUACGGGAGGCAGCAGUGAGGAAUAUUGGGCAAUGGAGGCAACUCUGACCCAGCCAUGCCGCGUGCAGGAAUAAGGUCCUAUGGAUUGUAAACUGCUUUUAUACAGGAAGAAACCUCUCUACGUGUAGAGACUUGACGGUACUGUAUGAAUAAGCACCGGCUAACUCCGUGCCAGCAGCCGCGGUAAUACGGAGGGUGCAAGCGUUAUCCGGAAUCAUUGGGUUUAAAGGGUCCGCAGGCGGUCAAUUAAGUCGGAGGUGAAAUACCGUCGCUUAACGACGGAACUGCCUUUGAUACUGGUUGACUUGAGUCAUAUGGAAGUAGAUAGAAUGUGUAGUGUAGCGGUGAAAUGCUUAGAUAUUACACAGAAUACCGAUUGCGAAAGGCAGUCUACUACGUAUGUACUGACGCUCAUGGACGAA
rnacentral:rRNA from 1 species